UACGGCCACAUUACGUUUAAACACCAGUUCCUGUAUGAUCACCGAAGUUAAGCAAUAUCGAGCUUGCUCAGUACAUACAUGGGUGACUGCUUGGGGAUAGCAGGUGUUGGAG